AAAACAUUAGCGCUUUUGGUAAGUGCUCUAUCAGAGGACAAUGGGACGGAGGCGCGUGCACGAGGCGACCCCGUGUUUUUAUUUUCUCUCUCUUUGAACCUAAAGACGCUUUCCCGGUCAGAAUAUUAUCGCUUUUUAUGAGAAAAAUGGCAUAAAAAUUUAUUUUAAACAGCGGUUGACAUGCUUCGAAGUACGGUAAUUGAAUAUUUAGAAUUUUUUUGUCAUGAAAUGCGUCGUGCGCGUCACCCUUCUUUACCAUUCGGAUAGUGUCUUGAACGCACGAACAAAACAGAGGAUAUUUGAAUAUAACUAUGGAUUAUUUUUAACCAAACCAACAUUUGUUAUUGAAGUAGAAGUCCUGGGAGUGCAUUCUGACGAAGAACAGCAAAGACCUAGUCAUGCUGAUCAGGGUGAAAUUCAAUGGUGAACACAAAUAUGUCAAGAUCAUUGACCUGACACUUGAAGACCUUUUUAUUGGAGCUUUCCUGAAAUGUGAGAUCCCACUUACUAGUUUAUCAGAGGAAAAGCUGUAUGAUGGGUCUGGAACUGAAAUUCAUGGGGAUGUGUUUGAGGAGGUGGUGACAAGGCCAGAUCUUGGUGUUUUCAAGCUCACACUGAACAAUGAUGCUAAAGAAUCUUCCCUGAUGAGUCCUGUCUCUGCCAGUUCUGUGAUGGGUGGUUCAGACCAUGAGUCAGUUGAUACAAUCAUUUUGAGCGAGGAUGGAAGCCCCUCACGAAAGCGUCAAAGAUCUGAUGACGAAGCAAAAAAUCUAAUAGAGAGCAUACUGAAGAAAAAGCCUGGUGGAGAGGUUGUCAUCAAGGAAUACUACAAAACUAAAAGCCUGACUGACUGCACCAGACGAAAGAUGAUCAAAAUUCUUGUUUCGGCGAUGACAGAGACUCAUGGGACAUCACCACCCCUCAGUGUGAGAGAAACAUUUGCACAAGGCAUCGUCUCCUUGUUCCCAUACCUGAAGGAUCCCUACACCGCAAAUGGAUAUAUUGAACAGGAUUUUGUGCUGCUGUUUGGAGAGCCAAGUUUUUGGAGAGGAUGGGACGGUGACAUUUCCUCCAUCCUUCUCCUGCUCCAUUUUACUCCUCCUUCGUCACAAGGCCGCAAAAGACCAGGCAAGAUGUCUGCAUCCCAAGCUGAACAGCAUCUUGUGAUAUUCCAAAAGGCAGGAACCAGUAUCCAGGAGCACCUUGACGCGAUGGACCAGAGCCGCCAACCAUAUCUUCUUGCAGUCGGGACCAGGAAGAGCAGCAUCCAUGCUUACUUCAUCAUCCUGGACAAGCGAGCCUUGCAAGUCAA
rnacentral:lncRNA from 1 species